UACGGAGGGUGCAAGCGUUAUCCGGAUUCACUGGGUUUAAAGGGUGCGUAGGUGGGCAGGUAAGUCAGUGGUGAAAUCUCCGAGCUUAACUCGGAAACUGCCGUUGAUACUAUUUGUCUUGAAUAUUGUGGAGGUAAGCGGAAUAUGUCAUGUAGCGGUGAAAUGCUUAGAUAUGACAUAGAACACCAACUGCGAAGGCAGCUUACUACACAACGAUUGACGCUGAGGCACGAAAGCGUGGGGAUCAAACAGG
rnacentral:rRNA from 1 species